CCCUUAGAUGUCCGGGGCUGCACGCGCGCUACACUGUAGAAAGCAGCGUGCUUUAAAACCUUUCCUGAAAAGGAUGGGUAACCCCAGCAAAAUUCUACGUGCUUGGGAUAGAGAUUUGCAAUUUUCUCUCUUGAACGAGGAAUUCCCAGUAAGUGCGAGUCAUCAGCUCGCGUUGAUUACGUCCCUGCCCUUUGUACACACCGCCCGUCGCUACUACCGAUUGGGAAAAUUUUAGAGAGUCUUGGACUGAUGAUUGUUCGGCUUCACGGCCUUACUUUCGUCGGGAAAGAAUUCGAUAAUAUUUUUCUAGAGGAAGUAAAAGUCGUAACA
rnacentral:rRNA from 1 species